GAGAAGCAACAAAAGGUCUCAAAAAAGGAAAAAAGCAAGCUGCGAAAAGGGAAGUGGACCGUAAGUUUCUAUGGGGUUUUCAUUUUAGUUCCAUUUUUGUUGUAUUUAUCUCCCUA
rnacentral:ribozyme from 17 species